GUCCAGACUCCUACGGGAGGCAGCAGUGGGGGAUAUUGCACAAUGGGGGAAACCCUGAUGCAGCGACGCCGCGUGGGUGAAGAAGCGCCUCGGCGCGUAAAGCCCUGUCAGCAGGGAAGAAAAUGACGGUACCUGAAGAAGAAGCCCCGGCUAACUACGUGCCAGCAGCCGCGGUAAUACGUAGGGGGCAAGCGUUAUCCGGAUUUACUGGGUGUAAAGGGGGCGCAGACGGCGAUGCAAGCCAGGAGUGAAAGCCCGGGGCCCAACCCCGGGACUGCUCUUGGAACUGCGUGGCUGGAGUGCAGGAGGGGCAGGCGGAAUUCCUGGUGUAGCGGUGAAAUGCGUAGAUAUCGAGAGGAACACUCGUGGCGAAGGCGGGUUCCUGGACAUUAACUGACGCUGAGGCACGAAGGCCAGGGGAGCGAAAGGGAUUAGAUACCCCGGUAAAG
rnacentral:rRNA from 1 species